GUUAUGUUACAGUGAACAUCACAAAGACUGGGACCUCUGACAUUUCUCUAGAUGUGAAGCUAAGCACAAACAACGGCACAGCAUUCUCUCCCGUCGACUAUACUUCAAUGUCUGACAAUAUGGUAACGUUUUUGUCCAACGAACAAUCUAAGCUAGUAAACAUAACCAUCAAUGUUGACCAGACAGUUGAAAAUGAUGAAGAUUUCAAGGCCCUCCUGUCUCACACUAACG